AAUUGAGUAGUGAAACCAAACUCACUGCUCAUUUCAGUUCCUUCCAUUUCAACAUCGUCACCCUCUCACUUCUCUUAAACAACAAUCAAACAUCAGCAUGCCUGAUUUAUUUAAAAAAAAAUGUUCUUGUGGCAAAGGGCACGAGGGAAUCAAUUUCUUUGUAAUAAAGUGCUAAAUGAGCUUAGAUACCCUUGACAGAAAUUAAUCGAGAAAGGUCACUUUUUAUCUUAAGUUUACAGGAAAAGCUAUUCAGAGUCCUUGAAGUUGUUUGAAUUUCCUUUGAUCGCAGCUGUUUUUUAAUCAGUGACAAACCUUGAGUCAACUGGACUGCAAACUCAGUAGUUUCAUUGUGAACCAGGCUUACAGCUGCUCAUCUUACAUUAACCUAACCUGCUAAAAUAACUUGAGUAUGAACCAGCUCCACUUCAGCCAUUGCACACAAUCUUAUUCUCCACAAUGUGAUAUUAGUCUGCAGAUGAUGGAAAUCUAAAGCAAAGAACACGAAUGACUGUCCAAUAAUUACAGAAAAGGUACCACCAGCAUCUCCAGUACCUCUACAGUGAAACACGCAACUCCUCUUAAAGGGAUCUCCUUGACACCUCUGAGGAUGAGAGUCCUGAGGCCUCAGAAGCAGCAUUAACAAGUCUGCCUGCUACACCCCCAUUCUCCUUCAGAGAGGCAACUACAUCAUCUUGAAAUAAGAGGAAGGAAGUAUAUCAAGGCAGUGGUGCUGCUGACACUUUUGCCCCUCCUGGUAUAAUAUCCCCAGUCUAUCACCACCUCCUAAGUUUAAAAGUAUCAGUGUGUAUGAGUUAGUCAGAGAUGUCAGUGCAACUCAAAGAGGUGGGGGGGUGGUAAGAUUGUAAAGGGGCACAUUAGGAUUUACAAUCAGGAUAAUCGCAGCAGGCAGGACUGGGAACGGUGUUAUGUUCAGUGGGUAUUGGCCUAUUUAAUACAUACUGCAGCCAAGUGAUAUGCAUAUAUAAUGAAUUUCUCCAAGACAGUUCUUUGCUUGUGUACUGGUUUUACUUUUUAAACUAACUCCUCACAUUUUAUAUUUGUGAAUAGAUUUUGUGCAUCUUUUUUGCUGCCUCUUGCAUUUGCUAAAACCCAGAAGUAAUCAUUAACACAGUGCAUUGUUGGAAAUUACUUGAAUAACGUCGCUUCUUUCUGGAGAAAUAUCACAUAAUCCCAUGUGAACGCAGACUGGGCAGUUGUGUAAUAUAUUACAGCUGAUGACAUACUCCCCCAAAGUCCUUUAUCUUCCAAACUGUCAACACAAUAUGAUGCAUUACAGGAUGUUUUUUUUUCUUUACAUGGCAGUACUUUUUAAAACUAAACAGGAUGCUUGCCCCUCCACUUAAACGAGUGAAUUCAGCAAAUGUGCUGUCACAGUCAAGUAGUCAGCUUUUUCCCCUCUGCUCAGUCUCUGUGACACACUCCAAAUCA